GACGAACGCUGGCGGCGUGCUUAACACAUGCAAGUCGAACGGAAAGGCCCUGCUUUUGUGGGGUGCUCGAGUGGCGAACGGGUGAGUAACACGUGAGUAACCUGCCCUUGACUUUGGGAUAACUUCAGGAAACUGGGGCUCAUACCGGAUAGGAGCUCCUGCUGCAUGGUGGGGGUUGGAAAGUUUCGGCGGUUGGGGAUGGACUCGCGGCUUAUCAGCUUGUUGGUGGGGUAGUGGCUUACCAAGGCUUUGACGGGUAGCCGGCCUGAGAGGGUGACCGGCCACAUUGGGACUGAGAUACGGCCCAGACUCCUACGGGAGGCAGCAGUGGGGAAUAUUGUACAAUGGGCGGAAGCCUGAUGCAGCAACGCCGCGUGCGGGAUGACGGCCUUCGGGUUGUAAACCGCUUUCGCCUGUGACGAAGCGUGAGUGACGGUAAUGGGUAAAGAAGCACCGGCUAACUACGUG
rnacentral:rRNA from 1 species